rnacentral:tRNA from 1 species
GGAGGGUAUAGCUCAGUGGUAGAGUGCAUGCCUAGCAUGCAUGAGGUCCUGGGUUCGAUCCCCAGUACCUCCA